rnacentral:piRNA from 1 species
CCUGAGGUCCUGAGUUCAAUUCCCAG